rnacentral:rRNA from 1 species
GACGGAGGGUGCAAGCGUUGUUCGGAAUUACUGGGCGUAAAGGGCGCGUAGGCGGUCUGUUAAGUUCGGUGUGAAAGCCCCCGGCUCACCUGGGGAACUGCGCCGGAAACCGACAGACUCGAGUACCGGAGAGGAGGGUGGAAUUCCCAGUGUAGAGGUGAAAUUCGUAGAUAUUGGGAAGAACACCGGUGGCGAAGGCGGCGCUCUGGACCGAGACUGACGCUGAGGCGCGAAAGCGUGGGGAGCAAACAGG